ACACGUAGGGGCCUGACGUUGUUCGGAAUCAUUGGGCGUAAAGGGCGCGCAGGCGGCCGUCCAAGUCCGGUGUUAAAUGGUCGGGCUCAACCCGAUCAUGCGCUGGAAACUGGGCGGCUGAGUCCCGGAGGGGAUGCCGGAAUUCCAGGUGUAGGGGUGAAAUCUGUAGAUAUCUGGAAGAACACCGAUGGCGAAGGCAGGCAUCUGGCCGGAGACUGACGCUGAGGCGCGAAGGCGCGGGGAGCGAACAGGUUUAGAUACCCUGGUAGUCCGCGCAGUAAACGAUGCGCACCAGGUGUCGGGCGGCAGCGCCCGGUACCGGAGCAAACGCGAUGAGUGCGCCGCCUGGGGAGUAUGCCCGCAAGGGUGAAACUCAAAGGAAUUGACGGGG
rnacentral:rRNA from 1 species